CCGGAGAAUCUGUUAAGCUCAGGAGGGAUAGCGCCACCGAAUAUAAAGAAAGAUUACCGGAAUAUUCCUUCUCGUCGCCCUGCUUUCCGGCGCUAUCUAUCCUGAGUUUCAUGGCUUCUUCUU
rnacentral:pre_miRNA from 2 species